rnacentral:rRNA from 1 species
CCUACGGGAGGCUGCAGUGAGGAAUAUUGGUCAAUGGGCGCGAGCCUGAACCAGCCAAGUCGCGUGAGGGAUGAAGGUUCUAUGGAUCGUAAACCUCUUUUAUCAGGGAAUAAAGUGUGGGACGUGUCCUAUUUUGUAUGUACCUUAUGAAUAAGGAUCGGCUAACUCCGUGCCAGCAGCCGCGGUAAUACGGAGGAUCCGAGCGUUAUCCGGAUUUAUUGGGUUUAAAGGGUGCGUAGGCGGCCUUUUAAGUCAGCGGUGAAAGUCUGUGGCUCAACCAUAGAAUUGCCGUUGAAACUGGGGGGCUUGAGUAUGUGUGAGGCAGGCGGAAUGCGUGGUGUAGCGGUGAAAUGCUUAGAUAUCACGAAGAACCCCGAUUGCGAAGGCAGCUUACUAAACUGUGACUGACAUUGAUGCUCGAAAGUGUGGGUAUCAAACAGGAUUAGAUACCCCUGUAGUC